UACGGAGGGGGCUAGCGUUGUUCGGAAUUACUGGGCGUAAAGCGCACGUAGGCGGAUCGGAAAGUCGGGGGUGAAAUCCCGGGGCUCAACCCCGGAACUGCCUUCGAAACUAUCGGUCUGGAGUCCGAGAGAGGUGAGUGGAAUUCCGAGUGUAGAGGUGAAAUUCGUAGAUAUUCGGAGGAACACCAGUGGCGAAGGCGGCUCACUGGCUCGGUACUGACGCUGAGGUGCGAAAGCGUGGGGAG
rnacentral:rRNA from 1 species